GAUCAUGGCUCAGGAUGAACGCUAGCUACAGGCUUAACACAUGCAAGUCGAGGGGCAUCAGGGUGUAGCAAUACACCGCUGGCGACCGGCGCACGGGUGAGUAACACGUAUCCAACCUGCCCUUUACUCGGGGAUAGCCUUUCGAAAGAAAGAUUAAUAUCCGAUAGCAUAUAUUUCCCGCAUGGGUUUUAUAUUAAAGAAAUUCGGUAUGAGAUGGGGAUGCGUUCCAUUAGUUUGUUGGCGGGGUAACGG
rnacentral:rRNA from 1 species